rnacentral:RNase_P_RNA from 1 species
GGCAACUGGAGCGGCACGGUAAACCCCACCGGGAGCAAGACCGAAUAGGGGCGGUGCGAGGGGAAACCCUCGAGGGCUGUUUCCGGCUCACCGUCCGGGUAGGUUGCAUGAGAUGCCUGGCAACAUGCGCCCAAGAUGAAUGGCCGCCACGUUCUCGCGCCGCAAGGGGCGAGGGCCAUACAGAACCCGGCUUACAGGCCAGCUGGCAAU